ensembl:lncRNA
AGACUAGCUUAUCUAGGUGGGUUGCAUGUAAUUAGAUCCUAAUGAGAAUCAGGUGCCUUAAGAGUUCUCCUGAGAGAGAGGGGGAUGGGAGGAAAGAAGAGAGUAGAGUGCUUGGGGGAGGGACCACGAGCCAGAAAGUGCAAGCAACCCUAGAAGAUGGAGAAAGCAAAGAAACGAAUUCUCCCCUCUGGCCUGCAGAAGGAAGAUAGUCUGGCUGAUACCUUGAUGUUUAGGACUUCUGACCUGCAGAACGAGUCAUGAUUUUGGAAGCACCAACAGCGUAAGUCUGCAGAAGGGAAUGGCAACCCACUCCAGUAUUCUUGCCUGAAGAAUCCCAUGGACAGGGGAGCCUGGUGGGUUUCAGUCCGCGGGGUUGCAAAGAGUCAGACACAACAGAGCAACUAAAAGAAAUCCAUGCUUCAUGAACCUAGGAAUUUGUGUCUCUUUUGUUUAUUGGAGUUUCCCAAGAAGCUAGAACAGGUCCUGGAACAUAAUGGAUAUCCAGAAGAUAUUUGCUGGCAGAGGUGGUGGAAGAAGUUACCUCACAGUGUCAUGUCAGAACCAGUGGAAUGAUUUCUCAAGCACUUAGAAGUAGCCCACUAAGAGUGGAGGUCUUAGGCCCAUGGAGUUCCCUGAUCAGGGAGGCAUGGAGGAGGGCUCAGAAAUGGCUGCAAAGAGUUCAUUUUUCCUUUAUGCAGAGGUCAACUUUCAUGUCAUGCCUUGUUUAAAAAAUUCACCUAUUCAGAUUUUCUAAUGCUUUUGAAUUGUCGUGCUGGAGAAGACUCCUGGGAGUCCCUUGGACAGCAAGGAAAUCAAACCAGUCAAUCCUAAAGGAAAUCAACCCUUAAUAUUCAUUGGAAGGACUGAUGCUGAAGCUGAUGCUCCAAUACUUCGGCCACCUGAUGCCAAGAGCCAACUCACAGGAAAAGAUGCCCUGAUGCUGGGAAAGAUGGAAGGCAAAAGGAGAAGGGGGCGGCAAAGAAUAAGAUGGCUACAUAACAACACCAACUCAGUGGACAUGAAUUUGAGCAAACUCUGGGAGACAGUGGAGGACAAAGGAGGCUGGCAUGCUGCAGUCCAUGGGGUCGCAGAGUUGGAUAUGACUUAGUGAACAAUAACAAAUUCAGAUUUUCAGAUUAUGGUGUAAUUUCUCAGAUGUCUGAGGGGAUAUUAUUAGAUAUUUACCUUAAUAUCCUGUCACUGCUUGCU